CCUACGGGUGGCUGCAGUGAGGAAUAUUGGGCAAUGGACGAGAGUCUGAACCAGCCAAGUAGCGUGAAGGAUUACUGCCCUAUGGGUUGUAAACUUCUUUUAUAUGGGAAUAAAAUGUUCCACGUGUGGGAUUUUGUAUGUACCAUAUGAAUAAGGAUCGGCUAACUCCGUGCCAGCAGCCGCGGUAAUACGGAGGAUCCGAGCGUUCUCCGGAUUUAUUGGGUUUAAAGGGAGCGUAGGUGGAUUGUUAAGUCAGUUGUGAAAGUUUGCGGCUCAACCGUAACAUUGCAGUUGAAACUGGCAGUCUUGAGUACAGUAGAGGUGGGCGGAAUUCGUGGUGUAGCGGUGAAAUGCUUAGAUAUCACGAAGAACUCCGAUUGCGAAGGCAGUUCACUGGACUGCAACUGACACUGAGGCUCGAAAGUGUGGGUAUCAAACAGGAUUAGAUACCCCAGUAGUC
rnacentral:rRNA from 1 species